UGUUCCAGAACUAGGUAGAGAUGGUUGCACAAUAUGCACAAGAUGAAUGCACUAAAUGCCACCGAAUUGUUUACUGUAAAGGGGUGAAUUGCAUGGUAAGUGAAUAUAUCUUUUAAAAAAAGAGAAGGGACAGGCGAGGGCGCAGAAGUGGGGCAGGCGUGCCCGUGUCAUGCCCUGCAGUGCACUGGCUCAGGGGCGGGGGCAGAGGCAGAGAAAACAGCUCUUUCUGACCAAACCCAGAGGCUGCUGGACAGACAGAGGGGGAAGGUAUCCGGGGAGGUAAACUGAGGCAGCCUGCCUCCCGGAUGGAGACAUGCUUCCAACUUCUUGGUGGGAGCUGUGGUGAAGAGGAGUCAGACCAGGAAAGCUAGAGAUGGGGGUGCGGGACGGGGGCGGCGAGGGCUCUGGAGAGGCCGCCAGACUGGGAACCUACUGCCCCCUGGGCUGCGGCACCCGCGCAGGCUGAGCCGCAGCAGGAAGCAUCUGUGAACAGCUCACGCCAGGCCUGGCUCUCCGGCUCUAUGACAGCGCCCCCUGCAGCGGGAGAACAGACCCAUAGGCCCCCAGCCCCCGUGGGCUUGACUCCAUCCCCCGUCACCCACUCCGCAGCAACCGCACCUGCCUCUCUUCACAGUCUUGGCCCGAGCACCACCUCUUCCAGGAAGCCCUCCCUCACCCACUGUUCUUCACGCUUUCACUUGUCACUCUCCCAGGUUUAUCUGUGGGAUGGUUGGAUUAGUGUCUGCCUUCCCCACCCGACCAGAAGCCCCUCAUGAUGGGACCAAUCCUGACCUGUGUGGGACUGGGCUUGGUAUACAGUAGGUGCUCAACGCUGACCUUCCGAAUCAAUGAAUGAACGAAGCUGUGAAACGGAGACUACCACAGUCUGAACUCCUGGAGCUGUGGGGAGCAGCUGAGGGACUGCCCCUCAGAGGAGCCCCAAAUACUGAGUACACAGCAGGAGCUCAGUAUCACUGGCCCAGAGCUCUGCUAAGCAGGACUGCUCAACCCAUGAGGCCUCCUCCAAGGGCUGGAGCCCAGCCGAAAGGAUGCGGAGAGCGAUCUUCAAGGGAGGGCACGCCCGGUGGCAGCGUCAGCAAACGCUUCAGCAAACGCGAGGAGGUGGCAACUCCAAGAGGAGCAUUUGCGGAGCAGCCAGCCCCGCGGCAGCUAGAGCACCUGGGCCAUGGCCUCAGUUUCCCCACCUGGAAGCACAGGGCAAACGGAGGCUCCCCAAGCGGCGGGGCCGGGACCACUGCCCCCUGGCCUUGUCGGCUGCCAGACCUCCCUCACCCAGAGGCCUGUCUCCUUUGCCACAAAA